ACGGAAGGCAGCAGUGGGGAAUAUUGCACAAUGGGGGAAACCCUGAUGCAGCGACGCCGCGUGAGUGAAGAAGUAUUUCGGUAUGUAAAGCUCUAUCAGCAGGAAAGAAAAUGACGGUACCUGACUAAGAAGCCCCGGCUAACUACGUGCCAGCAGCCGCGGUAAUACGUAGGGGGCAAGCGUUAUCCGGAUUUACUGGGUGUAAAGGGAGCGUAGACGGCUUUGCAAGUCUGAAGUGAAAGCCCGGGGCUCACCCCCGGAACUGCUUUGGAAACUGUAGAGCUAGAGUGCAGGAGAGGUAAGUGGAAUUCCUAGUGUAGCGGUGAAAUGCGUAGAUAUUAGGAGGAACACCAGUGGCGAAGGCGGCUUACUGGACUGUAACUGACGUUGAGGCUCGAAGGCGUGGGGAGCAAACAGGAUUAGAUACCCUGGUA
rnacentral:rRNA from 2 species